CCUGCGUCCUCAUGGAUGCCAGUCAGAUUCAUUUCCACUGAGCCAUGAUGGGAACUCCACUUCUGGGUAUGUUUUCUUGGUGGAAGAGUGUUAGUCUUGCAAUAUGUGGACAUAGUUACCACGAAUGAGGUGGGGGAGGGAUGCCCUUUGAGUUUCUAAUUCUGUCAGCAGCACAGCACAGACCUUUCCUAUUCUGACACCUUUCUGGUGUUUCUCUCUUUCCAAAUGUGAGCCACUGAAGGCUUCAAAGAGCCUCCUUCAACAUGUAUGUCUGAUUUACCGUAUGAGUAACUCUACUAUUUUAUUGUCAGAGCCCCUGGCCAUUGAAAAAAAAGCUGCAUAAAACAAACCCUGGGGGAAAACACGUUUGUUUGACUGGUAGCUUUUGUUUGCAUCUCAGAACUUGAGAGGAUGCUGUUUAUCAUUCCUGUGGGCAGCGCCAACCCCAUGAGAGUGAUUUCACUGUGCAGAUGGUAGAGACGUGCUGUAUUGGAAGGCCUUUGGUUCCUGAAGCCUGUUCUCCAAACACAGUAUGGUGAAAAUAAGGUCAUACACUCUAUUUUUUCCAGAAAGCACUGGAUAUGUAUUAUAUAAAAUAUAGUCCUUGGUUUGGGGUCCUCAUGUUUCAAGAGGUGGCCCAGUUAUCUCCUUGCAAUAACAUCGGUGGUUUUCACAAACCAGCUGAUGGGUGUGUGGGGCUUAAGGUCUUUGGGUUUGGGAGUGGAAACAAGAAAAACAGACUGGGAUGGACUGGAAGCAUGGCUGCUCCUCGAAACUCUCUGACCCUCUCUCAUCUUGUAUCUCUGGAACAUCAGGGAAAACCAAUCAAAAACGGAGGUGCACUGGAGAAUCCGCCUCCCAGGGCAGCCACGUGGACUUUGGAAUUGGGGGCAUCUGGCUGCAUCAAUGGUGAUUCUCCCACUCGCCUGCUGAGCUUGUUAAAAAUGCAGAUUCCUGGGUUCCCUCCCAGGCCUGGGGAGUCAGGAUCCCUGGGUGAGCAUCCUGGAUAACUUAUUUCUCAGCAGGCUGUCCACGUGGCUUGUAAACAGAACCUGCCAGCUCCAGGUCCUGACUGAAGUGCUUCCUUUCAGCUGGGAGGUGAUGUGUGACUGUCCCGUCUCAUAGCCCAGAAGCCAAGGCUUGGCACCCCUGGACUGGCCCUGGCCGCACAGUGAGGGGUGAGCAGGGGUGCCCCGUGCCCUCUGACUUUAGGUCUGUGCCCCUCGGGACCACUCGGCCCUUUCCGUCCUCUGUGCCUUGAGAACUGCCUAACUUGCUCGUGUGCCAGCUUCCUUGUCUGUGAAAGGAGAAUAAACGCCUCUGAAGGGCAAGUUCUGUGCUGGGCAGUCUUGAUAGUGAAGCGGAGUUCGGCCGCCCUGCUUCCUAGGUUACGCGGAACAUCUGUGUUGCUCGAUACUCCAAAUGUGUUAUUUGCACUUAUAGGCAAACAUCAAAGACGGCAACGAUGGUGAUAACGAGGGUAAUGGUAUUUCAUAGAUUGGUACAGCACACUUUCUUUUAUUCCAGCUUUACUGAGGUAAAAUUGAAAAAUAAAAUUGUGUAAACUCAUGUCUGAUGUGCUGAUUCGAUACACAUAUAGACCUCGGAUUGGUUGUCGAGGUUAGUCAGACCCCCGCCACCUCACAUAGUUACCAUUCUUUUUGUGUGGUGAGAACCCUUACAAUCUGCUCUCUAGCAGAUUUCAAGAAUCCAGCACAGAAUUUUUAACUCUAGCCACCAUUCGGCAUGUUAGAGCCCAGAUCUUCUUCCUCCCACAUGGAAAGUUCUUACCUUUGACCAGCAGCUCCUUCUCCCCUUACCCCAGCCCAAGGCCACCACUCUUCCAUCUCUUGCUAUGGAUUUGACUUUUGAAGACUUAUAGAGUAUUUGGUUUUCUCUGUCUGACUUAUUUCUGGAUGGCAGGCUUUCCAGUUCACUGCAGCACUGUUCACAAUAGACAAGGUGUGGAAACAACUUGAGGGUCUGUCGACAGAGGAACGGACAAAGGGAAUAUUACUCAGCUGUAAAAAGGAGGCAGUGCUGCCAUUUGCAAUAGCACAGAUGAACCUUAAGGGCUGGAAGCCAAGGGCAUAAGUCAGGCAGAGAAAGCCAAGUAUAGUAGAGCCUGCAUUCUGAGGCGGCUCCUGCCCUUCUGAGUGAUUUCAUUGUGGCUGAAAGAUCCGGAUCUCUUCCAAUUGGAACAUUUCUCUUUUCUUAAAAUUUUUUUCUUAAAAGUUUUUUCUUAAAAGUUUUUAUCCUGAUGGAGAUGAGCUGUUCUUUUCUUGAGGUCAGGUAUUGAAAGGUCAUCCCAUUGAAACACAAGCACCAGUAGCAAAGAAGCUCUGACUAGUGAUCCCCGCCCCCCAGCCAGUAUGCGUGUUGCUCACAGGUCUCUCCUUGCUGUCUUGGCAAAGAUCACUUGCUAGGAAUCUGGUGUUCUGACUUCUCCCCCUUCAUAGGAUAAAGAGAGUAAAGAAAGUUGUUUGUUUUUAAAAUUAAAACAAUUUAAGGUGACUAAGUAUCCUUUUAAAUUUAAGAGGAGGAACUUAAUUCAAAAGUACACUUAGAGAUUUAUAGCCUGUUGCUGAGGCUAAAUAUGACUAUGUGACCUUUUAUCAUUUUAUUAGUUACUUGGCUAAAGGGUUUGAAUCCAUGUCAAGACUGUUCUUUCCAGCACCACGGGUGACUCAUGUGGAGCUCUGGGUAGGACUGCUCCAGGGCACAGCUGUGACCUAUAUUCCCCAUGCGCUGUCUUUGUACUCACUCUCUCUAAUCUGUUCUCCUGCAGCGUUAGGGUGACGUGAGCUGAUGAAACCCACACGCUGACUGUUGUUAGGGGUUUCAGUAGCUUCCCUAGAAAACUCUUGCUAGCAUGACUGUAAGGGGGCAGAAUCUGAGGCCCCCCUCCUGUACCUGGAGAACAGGUGGUCUCUGCUGGAGGGGCUGGAAAUAUUGGGUGACAGUGGUGACGUCAGGUUGCUUGAAGUGGGGAGACUCUGCUGGCCUGAGAACUCAAAGACAAACCCUCCACUCCUGAGUCAUGCAGUUCCCAUCACAGGAGUCUGCAGGAAAAGGGGGAGAACACCCACCAUGUUUAUUCAACUGAUGUUCAUCCCCCACCUGCUAUUGCCAGGCCCUGGGCUUGGCCCUGUCCAUUCCACACAGGACACAGCAUGACCAGAUCAGAGUCUGGGGACCUGCAAGCAAAUCACCACAGACACAAGUGGGAAAGGGCCGUGGUGACAGGGGCUGCGGGGAGACGGCCCCGUGAGUGGCCCUGACCUGGACAUGGGUUCAGAAGGGACUUUCUUGGGAGUCAUGACUCGGCUAAGCUCUGAAGAAGUGGGAUUUAGCUUGUCAGAGGAUGGAGGAUGUUUUCCAGGUGGCCGGCAAUGACCUGGGGCCCUGUGCUGCUGGUGGGGGUGGGGUGGAUGGACAGCUGUGACCCUGAGGUCGCGGUGGUGAGGAUGUGGUGGCAGUAGGCGCAGACCUCGGAGAGCCCGGGGGCUUUGGAAGGAGGCUGAGGUCAGCUUGGGUUUUAGGUGGAGGUUGAUAUGAUGAGACCUGCCUUGGUCAAGCGCUUUCUAUGGACCACGUGGACAGUGGUUUUCAGGACUCAUUUAGCGGCCACUGGAAGACAGAGAGUUUUUUUGGAAAUAUUAUGAAUUUAGAUGUGUAUAAUGUUGAAUGUGGAGUAUAUACUUUUUUUAAUAAGCUGAUUUUUUUUCACUCUUUUUUUUUUUUGGCUACACUCAAGGCAUGUGGAAGUUCUUUGGUCAGAGAUCGAACCCAAGUCAUGGUAGCGACCUAAGCCACAGCAGUGACAAUGCCGGGUCCUUAACCCACUGAACCCCAGGAGAACUCCCUGGAGUAUCUCUUUCUGAAAACCUCUGGGGGACCCUGAAGGUGACAGGAGAACUCCUUGGAGUAUCUCUUUCUGAAAACCUUUGGGAGACCCUGAAGGUGACUGAGUGUCUAGACAGGGAUCUCUGAAGGGCAGUGGAGCCUGGAUUUAGGCAUUCGGGAGUCUGCAUGGCCAUGGGCACUGGGAGGGUGUGAGGUGAGUGAACUAUCUGUGAACUCUGAGCAACUGCAGCUUAAUGACUGGCUGGAUGAGGACGAGCCAGCAGUGAAGAUGGAGAGGAAAAUGUAGGAGGGAAACCAGGAGAAUCUAGUUUUCCUGGAAACCAACCCAAGGUGUUGUUUCAAGAAGGAGGGGCUAAGACUCAGCGGUGCCAAGUGCUCCAGAUGGUCAAGGGGGAGGACGGGUCAGAUUCCAGGGGACGCAGCAGCCCGGAGAUUCCCAGGAACCGCAGCAGGACAGACGUCAGAAACCGAAGGGAGGUCCAAAUGGAGGGAAACUUUUUACCCAACACAAAAUCUAACAGUGCAUUCAGAGCACCAAGUUCUAAGUGUAGAUCACAAAGAAAUCCUGAGUCCUGGCCUGGCUGAGUUCACGAAGAGACCUGCCCUGGAGUGUGGUGGGAAGGCCUGUACCUUUCUGGACAAACAGGCUGGAGGAAGGGAGGUGGGCAUCCAAGGGCAGAGACCACGUGAUGGGAAGGCCAGACCUAUAGGUGGUCGGGCCACUCGUCCAGCGGGGUCGCAGCUGUUGUGUAUCUGAGGCUGCAAGUGGGGGAGUAGUUCUGGAGCCUCUGAAGUUGGGGGCUGAAGCACAGGAACAAGAGCCCCCUGCUGCCUCCACACCAAGGAGGGGGUCAUGAAACUUCUUGGGUUUCAGGUUUUUCCUGGCCACCCGCGAGACACAUGGAAGUUCCUGGACUAGGGGUCAAACCUGUGUCACAGCGGUGUCUACGCUGGAUCCUUAACCCACUGCACCACCAGGGAACUCCAGGUUCGAGCUUUUUCACUUGAAAAUGAGGCUGCUCCAGAGCCCGCUGUAACCGAGCAAGACCCUAUGAGGCCUUCCCAGGACAGAACCCCCAUGUCCUCCAUCUGUUCUAUUCUGUAGAAAAUGUUAGCUUCCUAGACCUUCCCCAAGUUCCAAAGAAUAAACUUAAUCAGAGAAGUGAGAAAACACAGAAAGAAGGGGAAAGAGUCAAGCAAGACACAAUAACAAUACUUUAGCCAUUAAACAAGGUCAAGGACAUUUAGCUCUUCCUCAAGGGCUGUAGAGAAUGUUCUGCUUUGAAGGUAAUGAAGACCCACCAGGUGGAAGCCGUUAACUAUGAGCGGCCCGUGAACACGUGGACCACAGACCGGUUGGAACCAGAAGGUUGAUGACUUGACUCCCAGGGACCUCGCCACCCACCAAUCAGAAGAACACCCCCUUGCUGAUCACAAACACACUCCCACCCGCUCCCUCACCUUAUCUCAAAAAACCUUCCCCUGAAAGCCUCCGGGAAGUUCGGGUCUUUUAAACACUAACCACCUGACUCCCUGCUUAGUGCCUGCAGGAAAUGCUGCCCUUUCCUUCCCCGCAGCCCGGGGUCAAUAGACUGGCUUCACUGCACCUGGCUGAGCGGACCGGCUUCAGUGCACAUUCAUCCCAAAGCUAUUUGCCAUUUUAAAGUUGCACUAAUUAGCUUCAUCCAGAUUAAUGAUUUUUUCUGUUCCGUUCAGCACAUUAGGAAAUCUCUGUGAUGUCAUCCUCCCUGAAUGAGCAAAUUCUUUGCCCGUUUUUCUAAAAUCAUAUUAUUCUGUCUCUGCCUUGCUUUUGAUCCCUCUGUAUGCAGGGGCGUGGCUGUCCCCAGGCCUCCUCAGUCAGGGAUCAAGUGCAUUAUCUUGGGGUCCUCUCUGUGUCAUCAUGGUCUCUCUGGAACACCAAGGGCCGCAUAAACACGGUCCCGGCACCUUUGAGGAUCUGACAAAGGCUGGCUGUCUUCUCUCAAGACAAGGGCACGGGACCCCCAGUGCCAGGAGGCCCCCAGAGCUACGGCACAGUUGUCCAGAAAGCUGACCCAAUGAGAAAAUGGGCUGCUGUUCGACCACAUUUGGAGAAUUGAUUUCGGCAUCCUGGCACAUCUCUGCUCUUCACACACUAAAUAGCCAGCGAGGAAGAUGACCUCACCUUUUCCCGAAAGCGGAGAUGGUCAGUAGCUGUCUGUCCCGAGGUUGCCAGGGGGUCUGAACGCCAAGCCACAGCCUCCACCGCUGCCCUGGCCCCAAGCUGCUAGUCUAAUUCAUGGGGAGCCUGAACCUCGGUCCUUGUCAGGCUGCAGGGAGAAGCCCACACAAGGGUGAUGCCCAGGAGCUCAGCCAGCUGUGCCCAUGGAGGCUGCGUGGGAAGCUGCACUUCCUUCCCGGCCGGUGGAGAUACCACAUAAGGUUUACUUUACACAUAUUCCUUCUGGGGAGAAAAAUCAUCUGGCCGCAUGAAGAGCAGAAGGAAUGCCAAGUGUCAACGAGCUAUAACAAGCAGGGGAGCAGGUGUAAACAGGAGAAACUUCACCAGGAGUUCCUGUUGUGGCUCAGCGGAUUAAGAACCUGGCAUUUUAUCCAGGAGGGUGCAGGUUCUAUUCCUGGCCUCGCUCAGCAGGUUAAGGAUCUGGCAUUGCUGCAAGCCGAGGGUAGGUCACAGAUGCGGCUCAACGGAUCCUGCGUUGCUGUGGCUGUGGCGUAGGGUAGGUUGGCAGCUGCAGCUCCGAUUCAACUCCUGACCCAUAUACAGUAAGGGCGGCCGUAAAAGAAAAAAAGAAAGAAACUUCACCAGAAUUUGAGCCCUGUUUAUUUACCAACUGAGCAGAUAAAUUAUUCUCUCUGUGUCUAUAAAGUAGGUAAUAUCAUAUCUAUUUUAUUGGAAUACUUCCUGUGAAAGGCUUCAUAAAUUUGUGACGUGCUCUGAGGAUGAAGUAGAGGCUGUUUAUCUGAUCCAAGGAGACAAGAGUAAUUGAAAAAAAUCCUUCAUACAAAAAGGAUGUUGGGAGUUCUUGCCCUGGCGCAGAGGAAACGAAUCCGACUAGGAUCCAAGAGGUUGAGGAUUUGAUCCCUGGCCUCGCUCAGUGGGUUAAGGAUCCAGCGUUGCCAUGAACUGUGGUGUAGUUGCA